rnacentral:tRNA from 1 species
GCUCCGGUAGCUCAGUCGGUAGAGCGCACGGCUGUUAACCGUGCGGUCACAGGUUCGAGUCCUGUCCGGGGCG